GGAUAGUGGGCGUACAUCCUUUAAGUGGGGCUCGUCUUUAUCAGGAAGGAGAAUUAUCAGCCAUUUUUCCCAUCUGUAUACCUUAACCAUGGAAUCAGAUAAAAUUGAUAAGAAUUGUUCAAAUAUGAUAAAACUCUUUGUUGGCAAAUGAUAGAUCAAACAAUUUAAACGUUCCAGUAACUUUUUUUCCAGUCUUAAACAUCCGGGAAGUUUCGUAUCUUAGUGUAUUUGAUUAAAAAAGACCCUUUCAAAUUUACAGAGAGUGAAUUGCUGGAGUCACUUACAACGUCCUUGUUGCCUUCAAAGGUGGAUCUUCUUUGAAGAACUGACGGGGCGUGUCCGGAUGAGGAUGUCGACGAGGAUGCGAGACUGGUUGUCGUGGUUGUGGUGGAAGAUAAGCUUUGGUGGAUGAAGUGGUGGUGUUGGUGUUGGAGGUG